CUGGGGGCGUUCUAAGGUAUUCCAUGUUGCCGACUACUAAGACUUCUGUUUCAGCCCCAUUCGGAAAUACGAAAAAGUAUGUUAAAAAGUGGAUCUUCCCCUUAUUUUUUUCCAACAUCCUCUUAAGAUCUGCUAUUUGAAAAUAUGAAAAAAGUGGACGCUGUACUUGUCUGAAAGCGGAAACAAAGAUGAAGAGCUUAUUCUCAUUACUGGCUUGCUGUCCUUACUU
rnacentral:lncRNA from 1 species